CCUACGGGAGGCAGCAGUGAGGAAUAUUGGUCAAUGGACGAGAGUCUGAACCAGCCAAGUAGCGUGAAGGAUGACUGCCCUAUGGGUUGUAAACUUCUUUUAUAUGGGAAUAAAACGUUCCACGUGUGGGAUUUUGUAUGUACCAUAAGAAUAAGGAUCGGCUAACUCCGUGCCAGCAGCCGCGGUAAUACGGAGGAUCCGAGCGUUAUCCGGAUUUAUUGGGUUUAAAGGGAGCGUAGGUGGAUUGUUAAGUCAGUUGUGAAAGUUUGCGGCUCAACCGUAAAAUUGCAGUUGAAACUGGCAGUCUUGAGUACAGUAGAGGUGGGCGGAAUUCGUGGUGUAGCGGUGAAAUGCUUAGAUAUCACGAAGAACUCCGAUUGCGAAGGCAGUUCACUGGACUGCAACUGACACUGAGGCUCGAAAGUGUGGGUAUCAAACAGGAUUAGAUACCCCGGUAGUC
rnacentral:rRNA from 1 species